rnacentral:tRNA from 1 species
CCUCCUUACCAUUACGUCGAUAGGCGCACUUGAUGCAGUGCCUACACAGAUAGUCUUGUUUAAAAAUGAAGAACGACACAAGUUUAUGGGGCUAUAGCUCAGCUGGGAGAGCGCCUGAUUUGCAUUCAGGAGGUCAGCAGUUCGAUCCUGCUUAGCUCCACCAUCUACUUGAAACUGAGCUUGCAUAAGCGAAGUUUACUGAAGGCUUGUAGCUCGGAUGGUUGCAGCCCUGCCCUCGAAUAAGAGCGGUGAGGUCACAACGCCGACCGGCUUGAAAAAUAGGCUUGUAGCUCAGCUGGUUAGAGCGCACCCCUGAUAAGGGUGAGGUCGGCAGUUCAAGUCUGCCCAAGCCUACCAUUUCCUUGCUUUAAGAAAGGAAGGUAACAAAGGUGGAAACGUGUCACGUUGGACCCGAAAUCCUAAUGAAUAUUUACUGGUUUCAGUAAGCAUUGAUUAGGGGUUUUUACCCCUGAGGGAAGCAUUUACGAUACUUUAAAGAGUAAUGUAGGUCCUCCUUGCGCAAAAGUCAUGAC